rnacentral:rRNA from 1 species
AGUGAACGCUGGCGGUAGGCCUAACACAUGCAAGUCGAACGGCAGCACAGUAAGAGCUUGCUCUUACGGGUGGCGAGUGGCGGACGGGUGAGGAAUACAUCGGAAUCUACUUUUUCGUGGGGGAUAACGUAGGGAAACUUACGCUAAUACCGCAUACGACCUACGGGUGAAAGCAGGGGAUCUUCGGACCUUGCGCGAUUGAAUGAGCCGAUGUCGGAUUAGCUAGUUGGCGGGGUAAAGGCCCACCAAGGCGACGAUCCGUAGCUGGUCGGAGAGGAUGAUCAGCCACACGGGAACUGAGACACGGUCCAGACUCCUACGGGAGGCAGCAGUGGGGAAUAUUGGACAAUGGGCGCAAGCCUGAUCCAGCCAUACCGCGUGGGUGAAGAAGGCCUUCGGGUUGUAAAGCCCUUUUGUUGGGAAAGAAAAGCAGCAGGUUAAUACCCCGCUGUUCUGACGGUACCCAAAGAAUAAGCACCGGCUAACUUCGUG